AUUGCCCUAGUAACGGCGAGUGAAGCGGCAACAGCUCAAAUUUAAAAUCUGGCUCUUUUGGGGUCCGAGUUGUAAUUUGUAGAGGGUGCUUUAGCAUUGGCAGCGGUCUAAGUUCCUUGGAACAGGACAUCACAGAGGGUGAGAAUCCCGUACGUGGUCGCUCUGCUCUUGCUAUGUAAAGCCCCUUCGACGAGUCGAGUUGUUUGGGAAUGCAGCUCUAAAUGGGAGGUAAAUUUCUUCUAAAGCUAAAUACUGGCCAGAGACCGAUAGCGCACAAGUAGAGUGAUCGAAAGAUGAAAAGCACUUUGGAAAGAGAGUCAAAAAGCACGUGAAAUUGUUGAAAGGGAAGCGCUUGCCGCCAGACUUGCCUGUAGUUGCUCAUCUGGGCUUUUGCCCGGUGCACUCUUCUGCAGGCAGGCCAGCAUCAGUUUGGGCGACUGGAGAAUGGCCUCUGUCAUGUAUCUUCCUUCGGGAUGACCUUAUAGGGGAGGCGUAAUGCAGCCAGUCUGAACUGAGGUCCGCGCAUUUGCUAGGAUGCUGGCGUAAUGGCUGUAAGCGGCCCGUCUUGAAACACGGACCAAGGAGUCUAACAUCUAUGCGAGUGUUUGGGUGUCAAGCCCGAGCGCGCAAUGAAAGUGAACGGAGGUGGGAACCCUUUGGGUGCACCAUCGACCGAUCCUGAUGUCUUCGGAUGGAUUUGAGUAAGAGCAUAGCUGUUGGGACCCGAAAGAUGGUGAACUAUGCUUGAAUAGGGUGAAGCCAGAGGAAACUCUGGUGGAAGCUCGCAGCGGUUCUGACGUGCAAAUCGAUCGUCAAAUUUGGGCAUAGGGGCGAAAGACUAAUCGAACUAUCUAGUAGCUGGUUCCUG
rnacentral:rRNA from 1 species